rnacentral:rRNA from 1 species
UGCCAGCCGCCGCGGUAAUACGGAGGGAGCGAGCGUUAAUCGGAAUUACUGGGCGUAAAGCGCGCGUAGGCGGCUUUGUAAGUCGGAUGUGAAAGCCCUGGGCUCAACCUGGGAAUGGCAUUCGAUACUGCAUGGCUAGAGUAUGGUAGAGGGAAGUGGAAUUUCCGGUGUAGCGGUGAAAUGCGUAGAUAUCGAGAGGAACACCAGCGGCGAAGGCGAUCUCCUGGACCGAUACUGACGCUGAGGGACGAAAGCGUGGGGAGCAAACAGGAUUAGAUA